rnacentral:rRNA from 1 species
AGUGAACGCUGGCGGUAGGCCUAACACAUGCAAGUCGAACGGCAGCACAGUAAGAGCUUGCUCUUACGGGUGGCGAGUGGCGGACGGGUGAGGAAUACAUCGGAAUCUACUUUUUCGUGGGGGAUAACGUAGGGAAACUUACGCUAAUACCGCAUACGACCUACGGGUGAAAGCAGGGGAUCUUCGGACCUUGCGCGAUUGAAUGAGCCGAUGUCGGAUUAGCUAGUUGGCGGGGUAAAGGCCCACCAAGGCGACGAUCCGUAGCUGGUCUGAGAGGAUGAUCAGCAACACGGGAAAUGGGACACGGUCCAGACUCCUACGGGAGGCAGCAGUGGGGAAUAUUGGACAAGGGGCGCAAGCCUGAUCCAGCCAUACCGCGUGGGUGAAGAAGGCCUUCGGGUUGUAAAGCCCUUUUGUUGGGAAAGAAAAGCAGCAGGUUAAUACCCCGCUGUUCUGACGGUACCCAAGGAAUAAGCACCGGCUAACUUCGU